GGCUGGGUCCUUUAGACAUUUAGCCCCUGAAAUGUUCAUGCAUAGAUGUUGUAAAAUAGAUAUUCCGUGAAGGAAAUGUAGUACUUUAUGGUGCUCCCUAGUUGUGCAUCCAAUUUUGUUUUAAGCUGGUGUGGAACCUCUUAUGUUGUGGAAAUUGCACAAAUUUUGCCUUUGUUACACCCUUCUCUUGUCUAUAGGUGGUCAAUGCUGCGGCAGCUGUAGAUACUCUAUCUAAUCAAGUGAUUGCAAAGGCAUGUGAUGAAGUCUGCUCUUGGCAAACUCCAGAAACAGAAGUUGGCGCUGAAUGUAGGAGUUCCACCAAAUCUUCUGCUGAAAUGACUGGAUGGAUAAAACACGAAUCAUGUCCAACACCGUUCCUCAGGUGGGGCAAAGCAAGUUGAGACAUCCAUUUCUUGUGCACAUCCAUAAUGGUGGGUAGAUGAACAGACUGGCAGGAGCUCUUCAUUUUGGCACCCGUUGCGACAUGCUGCGAUGGUGGCCAUUGAAUCAUCUGCUGCCAGGGACAGACGCUUAUUCCCUGAUGUGAGAUACAAAGAUGAAGCUACUAAAGAGGAGUAUAUUCUAUAUCCUGCAAAAUCUCAAGCAAAAGGACGGAAAACUGAUGGCAAUGACAUAAGCUUUUCCUCUACAUGUGAAGGAAAUCCUGGCAAGCCUUUCUAGCAUGACAAUGGCAUCUAAGUAUCAUCUGCUUCGUUGUUAUAAAGUGCACGAUCUUUUCUCAACAUUUGCAAAUAUCAUCAUACUAUUUCAUCUGUUAUUGCUCAACUCAAACUCCGAUUAGCUCUCAGAUGGUUGGUUGGGUGCAUGUUAUAAUCAUCCCUUAGUCAAUUUCAUUGUCUUGAUGGACUUGGUAAUAGUCAACUCUGUAUAUGCGAUUUAUUAAGUGAACACCUUUUGAUGACAAUGCCUACUCAGCCAGUAAUACAUGCACUGUCCACCAAUUAACUAGUUGGCACUGAAGAUGAAAUGCUUGAGGAUUAUUUGGCUCUGAACAUAUGGAACCAACUAUUGCGUUUGAUUCUAUAGAUUGAUUCUCUUCUGCUCCUUUGCAAUUAAUCUGACGAUAUUUCAUCUUGGCACUGACAUCUAUAUCAUUGUGGGAAUUCAGGUCGACAAUGAUGAAAAAAAUGAUGCUGCUCAUGGAAAUGGUGAUCUCUCUAUUAGACCGUAUUUAUGCAUUGGCAAUGACAUCUACCUUGUUUGGGAACCAUGCACAAUGUGUGCGAUGGCACUUGUGCAUCAGAGAAUCAGGCGUGUGUUUUACGCUUUUCCAAAUCUGAGUGCCGGAGCGUUGGGCAGUGUUCACCGGCUACAGGAGGAAAAAAGCUUGAAUCAUCACUAUGCGGUGUUCAGGGUUGUGGUGCCACAGGAUAUCCUGGACAAAUCCAAAACAUCGAUAUCUGGGAGCCAAGAAUGAGAAUGUUGAGUUGAGGAUGCCUUGAAUUUUGUAGGAAGAAGAUAGUAGGAAGAUUGUAUUGCAUUAUCUAUCUUCUUGGUCAUCAGAUUUUGGACUUCUUUUCCCCCUUUCUAAUCUUGUUCGAGUUAUGUAUUGCA